UACGUAGGGCGCAAGCGUGUCCGGAAUUAUUGGGCGUAAAGAGCUCGUAGGCGGCCUGUUACGUCUGCUGUGAAAUCCCGGGGCUUAACCCCGGGCCUGCAGUGGAUACGGGCAGGCUAGAGGCAGGCAGGGGAGAACGGAAUUCCCGGUGUGAGCGGUGAAAUGCGCAGAUAUCGGGAGGAACACCGGUGGCGAAGGCGGUUC
rnacentral:rRNA from 1 species